CGAACGAUGAGGCCCAGCUUGCUGGGCCGAUUAGUGGCGAACGGGUGAGUAACACGUGAGUAACCUGCCCCCGACUCUGGGAUAAGCCCGGGAAACUGGGUCUAAUACCGGAUAUUCUCCCCCCGCCGCAUGGCGGGGGGUGGAAAGCGGUUUAGCGGUCGGGGAUGGACUCGCGGCCUAUCAGCUUGUUGGCGGGGUAACGGCCCACCAAGGCGACGACGGGUAGCCGGCCUGAGAGGGUGACCGGCCACACUGGGACUGAGACACGGCCCAGACUCCUACGGGAGGCAGCAGUGGGGAAUAUUGCACAAUGGGCGAAAGCCUGAUGCAGCGACGCCGCGUGAGGGAUGACGGCCUUCGGGUUGUAAACCUCUUUCAGUAGGGAAGAAGCGAAAGUGACGGUACCUGCAGAAGAAGCGCCGGCUAACUACGUGCCAGCAGCCGCGGUAAUACGUAGGGCGCAAGCGUUAUCCGGAAUUAUUGGGCGUAAAGAGCUCGUAGGCGGUUUGUCGCGUCUGCCGUGAAAGUCCGGGGCUCAACCCCGGAUCUGCGGUGGGUACGGGCAGACUAGAGUGAUGUAGGGGAGACUGGAAUUCCUGGUGUAGCGGUGAAAUGCGCAGAUAUCAGGAGGAACACCGAUGGCGAAGGCAGGUCUCUGGGCAUUAACUGACGCUGAGGAGCGAAAGCAUGGGGAGCGAACA
rnacentral:rRNA from 1 species